AGAAAACAUCUCCAGGCAAAACUACAGGCACCUAGCCCAGCUUUAUGCUGUUCCAGGUCCCUGCAGUCCCCCCAACCAGGGGCUGGGGGGCCCCAGAGGGCCCAAGGGGCUCCGAGCCCCCUUCCCUGUGGCCUUACAACAUGGUUACCUCUUCUACUUCCAAAC